rnacentral:tRNA from 1 species
GCGAGAGUGGCGGAAUUGGUAGACGCGCUAGAUUCAGGUUCUAGUAGGGUAAAACCUGUGGGGGUUCGAGUCCCCCCUCUCGCA